GGAGAGGUGCCCGAGUCAGGUCGAAGGGGCCGCACUGCUAAUGCGGUGACCCCCUCAAAGGGGUCCGUGGGUUCAAAUCCCACCCUCUCCGCCA
rnacentral:tRNA from 1 species